rnacentral:lncRNA from 1 species
UUGUAAGACCCCCAAUUAUCCAUACUUAUAGGAGGAAGGGUAGAAAAGUAACUGCACAGGGAAUUAUUAUGGAGAAAUGAUUGGAAGGACGUUCUGAGUGGUAGGGCCCACUGGGCUGAGGAAUAUGUGAGUCUAUAAAUAGGAUUAUUAGGUUGGAGUAGCUAGGGUAUUUUUAACUUUUAGGAGGUAGGGCUACAGCAGCCACCAGGGUCUCUUAAAACCAAGAGGCUGGUAUGAUCUUUUCUGCAUUUUUCCUUGUUGUUUCUUGUUAUUUCUUUUCAUCUUGUGAAUCUGGAUCAUUUGGCUUUAUAUAUAAAUAAAGUAAACCAGAGUACCGCCUCUGUUUAAGCCAUUUAUACAGUCCUUUCAGUCUAAAUUAUUGUUAGUAUCCUAACAGAAUUAUCCUGCAAAAUUGAUGUGUAAGACCCGUAAGAAAAAUAAGUAAUGUAAUAGACAAAGAAAGCAAUCCAAUUUUGAGGCCCAAAGGAAUGUUCUCCUUGCUUUCUAAUCUAGAGUUUCACUUAACACAAUGUCUUUGGACAAGAGAACUAUAUUCUUUUCGACAAAAACAAAGCCAAGCCAGUAAAUAAUAUGCACUAUGAGUCAUUGGUUAAAAAAGCUUACCUCCUGGAUUGAAUACCACUCAAACUUGUCUCUAUAACAAUCAAUGAAAACAAAAUUCCAGAGAAUCCUAUGGCACACUCGUUCAUAAGGUUGUCAUAAUGAUGAAAGGGGUUAUGAGCCAUGACAACUGCGAUGAAAAGAUGAAUAAUAGCAUUGCUUAUGGCUAGGAGAAUUGUCAGGUAGAGCAUGCGGAUUGAUCCCAUGAUUCUCUCUAGUUCAGAACCCAAAGGCACUAAAGCCAACAUGUUGAAUAAAACAUGAAGUAGUGAACCGUGAAAAAGAACAGACGUAAAAAUCCUGUAAACUGCAUGACAAACCAAAUAGCAUUAAGAACCAUGAGAAGAAUUGGACAACUUCCAUGUAACAACUAGCAAAGUAAUAAGAAAAAAUCACAGGGUGUGUACAUUGCGAUGUAAUCAUAAAAGUCAGAAAUUCUAAACGAAAGAAGUUGUCACGGAGAAGUGAACUAUGAUUACCACUUAUGAUACCAAGUAUCAGUUGUGGGUACAAAUAUUUUAUUUGUCUUAUUUCCAUCACAACCACAACACUUAGUAUCAUGCCCUGCAACAGCAUUCCAACUGAACAAUCCACCAUGAAGAGAAAUUGACCUUCAUUUAAAAUCUAUAGAAUGCAGAUUUUUUUAAGCAAACAUACUCAAUUAAGUAGGAAACUAUUCUACAUAUUGUUUGAAAGAAUGAUCAAAGGUAUUGGCUGGCUCAAGAUACUUGUCCGUCAUAUUCCAACAAAGCAUGGUGCAUGGUCACCCUAAAACUAGAGUUAACAUAACAAUAUCUAAUUCAGUUAUAUAAACCAGCAACAUUUGUUGAAAGGCAAGUUGAAUAUGGUUUUUUAAUGUUUACUACAAGGCCCCAAGUCCUUAAUUCUGGUCACAUGAAAUGUUUUCAGAAUCCUAAGAACUUCAAAUCGAGAAUAGGUUAAAUUCGAGCACCCUAAAACUAUUUCCAGAGCAUUAACAAAAUCAUUUACAAAAAAGGAACUAAGAGAGAGAAUAAUAGAUUCAAUGAGACAAAAAGCAACCACUGAAAAUUGAGAAAAGGAUGAAUGUACCUUGAAAAUGUGAUAGGAUUGCCACAGGUAAGAAACAUACUUCAACAAAUGAGUCAUAUCCAACCAAAAGACACACCAAGUAAAUGGUUCCACAGAUGAGUAUGAUAGAUGAAGUAAAGAAUGGAAUGCCUUCCCACCACUGCCCCAUCCUUGUUGGCAAUCCUGCCUAUCAAUCACCAAAACAAAAGGUGAAGUGGUCGUUUUUUGUUCUCUCUUUAUGCUAUACUAGAAAAAACAUAAUGAUGCUACUAUCAAGUUUUAUGACUUAAUUUUAAUUAUCAUCAGAAGUCUAUUUAAUUGAUUUUUAAAUCUAAUUUUCCAAGUUAGAUAAUUUUAAUUCAGCUACUAUACAAAAUACAGUAUAAACUAGUUGUUUGCCUCUGGUAUUAACUAUUUCAAUUCGAUUUCUCACUCUUGUCAUGAAUGCAGAGAAGCCAAUAAGACCAUGUGUAAAAUUACGGGUCAACUAGCUUAAGUACCAGUAUUUCAUGAAUAAAAUAAAUGUUCUGUCAAGGCAAAUCCCUUGAAGCAUACAAUCAGUUUUUUAUUUUUUAUACUAUGUUUAUUUCUUGAAGCUUCCAGUGGGAGACUGGAUUAAUGUAGAGUUUACGAUCAGAAACUAUACAAUGUAAGGAAUCCCAAAAAAAUUGGCAGUGAGAGAGAUUGGGUUGAUUUCAGGUCACAACCCAGUAGACUCAGCGAGAAGGAUUUGUAACUACAGCAAAAAAUAGGUAACCUUCAACUGCCUGAAAAUCUCAGUCAUCCUCAGAGUCCACAUGAUUUACUAAAUAGCAAAGUUGGCAAUAAAACGUUACUGUUAGAUUUAGUAGGCUUGACCCAAGGGAAGAUUUGACCUAAUAUCUUAUUCUUUUUUUUUAUUCCUCAUUGUAGCCUAUUUAUUUCCCCUUUGUAUCAUUUGUUAAUAAAAAAAUAAUAAGAACAAAAAUUGUAGUUUUCCUCCCGGUACUCGGGUUUUCACGUAAAUCUGUGUGUUCUUACUUUCAGUAUGGUAUCAGAGCGGGACAUUGAACAAACCCUAGACAACAUAACUAGCGAUGGAAAUCAAACAGAGGAGAGCUGUCGGUUUUAGUGCAUCUGUCACUGCCGCUGUUGAUGCUCGGAUCAGUGCUGCCAUGGACGAAUGGUUUCGCUGCCUUCAGACAACGCCGGGAAAUGUAAUCCUGACGAUUCUGCCGUCAUCCUCACCGCCACGCACCGGUCCAUCCUCCUCAGAGAGUACCAACCGUCCCUUCUGUUCA